rnacentral:RNase_MRP_RNA from 1 species
AUUUAACAUAAUAAUGUUACGCGCAGAAAAUGUACAGAAAAUUUGUUUUCAAAUUUUCAUUUCAUCUGCUGGGAAAGUCCCCGAGAUAGGGAAUUCUCUAUUUAGAGUUGUCCCCUAUUAGGAAAGCUAGUAACCUGAUAAGUUACGUAUCUUAUAGUAUCCUUGCAUGGAAAGCUAUUUUAGCAACCUGUCCAAGGCAUGUGAAAUGGAGAGUUAAAUGUAACAUGUGCUGCCGUCGGUGGCAUAACGGAAUGGGGCUUAUACAUAUGUUAAA